UUCAACAGGGUCUAGUGGCUAGGAUUUGCCGCUCUCACCGGCAAGGCCCGGGUUCGAUUCCCGGUGUCGGAA
rnacentral:tRNA from 1 species